rnacentral:rRNA from 1 species
UACGAAGGGGGCUAGCGUUGUUCGGAAUUACUGGGCGUAAAGCGCACGUAGGCGGAUCGAUCAGUCAGGGGUGAAAUCCCAGGGCUCAACCCUGGAACUGCCUUUGAUACUGUCGAUCUGGAGUAUGGAAGAGGUGAGUGGAAUUCCGAGUGUAGAGGUGAAAUUCGUAGAUAUUCGGAGGAACACCAGUGGCGAAGGCGGCUCACUGGUCCAUUACUGACGCUGAGGUGCGAAAGCUAGGGGAGCAAACGGG